AAGAAGAGGACGAACGAGCAAGAAGAGGCCUGUACCGAGGAGAGAUCGUCAAUGGGGGACGCCGGAGGGAGAGCACCGUCAGCUCAUAGCCCAACUCUUUAAAUCCCCGAACACUGUGAAAUCCUUUCAAUUAUCGCUUGCGAUUACAUUACCAGUAUUCUAUUUUGUGAAGAAGCAUGAAUUUUAGAUCUUGGAUUGCCGGAGGGAUUCCGGGUCUGGUUCCAGUUCUGGUGUGGGAGCUGUUUCGAUUUGGAGUGUGGCAGUGGGAGUUGCAUGCAUACAUUUUGUUGGUGGGUUUGCACUCAGGCCUUAUACCAUUCCUCAUAUAUUUUUAUUUUAGAGAAACUGGUGAAAGAGCAAGCUUCCGUGAAGACAGAUCUAGACAUGGCGGUACCUCUCUUUGUUUCUUCCUGUGUCUGUCGGUGCUUUCGUUUAAUUUGUUCGAUCAAGCUCGCACACAAGAAUUUUUUACCAAUAUAUGAUCGUUAAGAACAUUAGAAGAAAAGUUAUAGAAUGCGUUUAAUGAAAAUGCUAAACUCAAGGUGAAACAGAAAGAGGAUGAGAAGCUGUGGAAUGGCUUAGAAUCUAAAUUUCUUACGAAAACACUGCGAUCAACUCGCUGAAACUUUAAAGCAAUUAGCCAGUCAAGUUCAUGAUGGUACAUACAUUAUGGAUAUA